AUAAAGGGUCCUGCCUGCCCGGUGACUUAGUUAAACGGCCGCGGUAUCUUGACCGUGCGAAGGUAGCAUAAUCAUUUGCCCUUUGAAUGGGGGCUGGUAUGAAUGGCAAGACGGAGGUUCAGCUGUCUCCCUCUCAGAUCUUGAAUUUGAUAUCCUCGUGAAGAAGCGGGGGUGUAAUCGUGGGACGAGAAGACCCUAUCGAGCUUUAGUUAGUUGCACAAGUUGGUUUGGUCGCCUAGGGGCUAAUUUUCUUUCUUAAAGGGGGUGAGUUUACCGUUUAGGCGGUUUGGCUAUGUGCUUGUAGCUUUAGUUGGGGCAACUGCGGAGAAUAGUUAUCCUCCGUUUAUUAAGCAUUUGGUGAAGUGCCAACUUCCAUGCAGGUGUUGCUUUUUCGGGGAUCCGCCGGUAAAGGGCGAUUAGAGGAAUAAGUUACCGUAGGGAUAACAGCGUAAUUUUCUUGGAGAGUUCUUAUUGAUAAGGAAGUUUGCGACCUCGAUGUUGGAUCGGGAUUACCUAGGGGUGCAGCAGUUCCUGAGGGUUGGUCUGUUCGACC
rnacentral:rRNA from 1 species